CUAAACCUAUGUUCUGAAAGGGGGAAAGAAAGGAAACGGGAAACAGGGUGAAGACAUAAGGGAAAAGGGGGGAAUCAGAGAAGAAGAGGAAGGAGAAGAGAGGGAAGGGAUGGCGCCGGGAAGGGUGCCACUGUCGCCGCCGCUUCCGUCGUGUGGGUGAGAGGGAGAGCUCGUGAAUGGGGUUGUUGCCCAAAGCUGUCGUUACCAUUGGAGCUGCACGAAGCCAUCUCCAUCGUCGUCGCCUGGGCUGUCGCCGUCGUGCUUCAUCGCUGCCGUCGCUAGGGCUCGUCACUAUCGUCGUAGCCAUCGCCAUCGCACGCAGAGGGGAGAGAGAAGGGAAGAUCCGCGAUUGGCCAAGAGAGAGGGGGGAGUCGAAGGAUGCGUUGGUGGGUGUUCUCCUCGCCGCCGCCGUGGGAGCUCGCCACCACUGUGAAGAUGAACCGAGGCAAGCAUUCUUGCUCUUGGUUUCCAUUCUGUUUUGCUUUUGGUUUUUGUUCUGUUCUUGCUUCUAGUUUUCGUUCUGAUUAUUAGGGUUUGCAAUUCCGUCCCCUUUGAAGCUACUGCCAUUGUCGAUUGCCACUAGAGAAUGUGCCGCCAACCUUCUACUGCCGAGAGUUAAUGCUGGAGCUGCCGUGAUGAGUCUGAGUCUGAGACUGCUACUUUGAUUAUGGGUUGUGAUUGCUCUUAAUUUCCAUCCAAUAUGAAUCCUCUGUUUUGCUACAAUCCCGGUCACUGCUGUGAAGACUAUGCCUCUGCAGUUCCGGUUGCAUGGGAGUCACCGCUGCUACAUGAAAAUAAAAGGGGUUAAAUUAUGCGAUUGCGACAUCGAGCUGCAUAGAGGUGGAAGAUUACAAGGAAAGGUAAUCCGAGGCUAUGCUCGCUAUGGAGACCAUUAAAGCCGGGAACAAAGGCUAUGGUGCUGAGAUUACCGUGGUUACUUAUUCGGAGCGAAAGAAAGAGGCAGAUGAGAGAUCAAAAGUUUUGGGCAGCAUGGAAGGGAGCUUAUUACAACUGAACUUGCUUUAAGAAUUUUGUCUAUUCUAAGUGGAGAACAAUCACUACCUAACAUGGAUCAAGCUUCUUUGAACACUACACUUGACAAGCUUGUGAUAAAGGCAAGUUCAUAUUGUCGCUGUAAUUGUGUUAAUAAUGAAUCUAAUAUGGAACUAGGCUCUGCUAAUCAGGAUUUCAGUGAAGUGUCAUAAUCAGUUUUAUUGAAAUAUAUGUUAUAGAUUGUAUACUAUAUAACAGAUUCAACUGGAGAAAUCAUCAACAUGCUACUCUCUAAUUGUUUAUCAGGUGAUUCCGAUGAAAAUUGUGUUUUGUAGUGAUUGUUUGACAGUUGAUACUUAUGUAAAUUUAAUAACUUUGUUCAUUAAGUUGUGAUUGAAUUGUGAUUAAUUAGCCCAAGUUUAUAUAUUAAAUUUAUAAUUCUUGAUAAUUUACAUUUUUAAUUGGCUAGUUUUGAAC